GGUUUUUGGUUCCUCUUCAGUGCGAAUAAAUCUUUCGCCUUUUACUAAAGACUUCUGUGGAGAGAAGCCAAACAGUUUACUAAUAACUCAUUUUUUUUUUGGAAAUCGCAUCAUUUCAA